rnacentral:ncRNA from 2 species
UGUAUAUUGGAAAAUAAAGGUGCGCGUACUACAUAGUACAGCUUAAAAGGGAAGCAGGUAAAAUUCUGCACGGUCCCGCCACUGUAAUGGGGAAAUGUUUUAUACUAAUAGCCACUAGUCCUACCGGGAAGGCGUAAAGCAUUGAUGAACCAAAGUCAGAAGACCUGCCUUUGUUGAAUGAACCAA